AGUGAACGCUGGCGGUAGGCCUAACACAUGCAAGUCGAACGGCAGCACAGUAAGAGCUUGCUCUUACGGGUGGCGAGUGGCGGACGGGUGAGGAAUACAUCGGAAUCUACUUUUUCGUGGGGGAUAACGUAGGGAAACUUACGCUAAUACCGCAUACGACCUACGGGUGAAAGCAGGGGAUCUUCGGACCUUGCGCGAUUGAAUGAGCCGAUGUCGGAUUAGCUAGUUGGCGGGGUAGAGGCCCACCAAGGCGACGAUCCGUAGCUGGUCUGAGAGGAUGAUCAGCCACACUGGAACUGAGACACGGUCCAGACUCCUACGGGAGGCAGCAGUGGGGAAUAUUGGACAAUGGGCGCAAGCCUGAUCCAGCCAUACCGCGUGGGUGAAGAAGGCCUUCGGGUUGUAAAGCCCUUUUGUUGGGAAAGAAAAGCAGCAGGUUAAUACCCCGCUGUUCUGACGGUACCCAAGGAAUAAGCACCGGCUAACUUCGUG
rnacentral:rRNA from 1 species